rnacentral:ncRNA from 1 species
AAAAAGGCAGAGAAAAGAAGAGUACAUUCUGCAGACUGGCAAAGAGAGCUUCAGUUGGUGAGAAGAAGCGCAGCAGGCUGAAUGGAAGAUGGUCUUGGAGCCGCGUACCGACUACAGAAGUAUAGGCUACGAUGGGAGCGCCCAUUACAGCGCCGGAGUAUAAGGAAAUACAUGGAGUGGUUUGGAUUUCCCGUACUUGCAAAGGUCAGCAUCGUGAGGUGCGGAUAAAUCAAGGUGGUACCACGAAGCGUAAUGCUCUCGUCCUGAUU